rnacentral:piRNA from 1 species
UGCCGAGAAGCCGAUGAAGACCUACUGC